CAGCAACACCUUCCAGGAGAGGACUCGCGUCACAGCUCCGGUUUCAGAACAAGAAGUAAGCGUAAAGCGCCAUCGAGUGGUUCAACCAAGGAGCAGAAUGAGGAGGAACCAAAGAAGAAACAGCAAAGAAAACGACGCUCCUAACAAACAGGCUGAGUAAACUUGGAGUAACUUCUAGAACUUUCUAGAACUUUCCAGUAAUAUAAAUAGCUGCUCCAUAAUGGUAACAAGUACCCGUCUCUUCCCCUGGCUCACUCGGUGCACCUCAAAGAGGAUUACAACAGUAUCAAGACCUUGCUGGACGCCUUGAAGUAUGAUGAGUACAGCUGGGAGGUCAUAGGAGACUUCAAAAUGGUGGCAUUCCUGAUGGGUCUCCAAGGCGGUUUUACCAAGUUUCCCUGCUAUCUUUGCCUUUGGGACAGCAGGUACACCAAGGCGCACUACCACAGGCGGGACUGGUCACAGCGGACCGAGUUCUCUGUGGGGAGGAACAACGUCAAGUGGGAGCCACUGGUGGACCUCCGGAAGGUGCUGAUGCCACCACUGCACAUCAAAUUUGGCCUUAUGAAACAAUUUGUCAGAGCUCUAGAUAAGGAGUCGGCAGCCUUCAAGUAGCUUCAAGACUUCUUCCCUAAGCUGUCUGAGGCAAAGGUCAAAGCCGGUGUCUUCGUCGGACCACAGAUAAAGAAGAUCCUGGAGUGCAAUGAAUUCCCCAAGAAGCUCACUAGUAAGGAGAAAGCGGCUUGGAACAGCUUUGUCGCAGUGGUUCGGGGCUUCCUGGGCAAUCACAAGGCCGAAAACUAUGUGGAGCUGGUUGAGACUCUGGUGAAGAACUACGGCACAAUGGGCUGUAGGAUGUCCCUCAAAGUCCAUAUCCUUGAUGCUCAUCUUGAUAAAUUCAAGGAGAACAUGGGAGCGUACUCGGAGGAGCAAGGCGAGCGCUUCCACCGGGAUAUACUGGACUUUGAACGCCGCUACCAAGGACAGUAUAACGAGAACAUGAUGGGAGACUACAUUUUGGGGGCUGAUUCGUGAAAGUGAUUUACAGUAUAAUCGUAAAUCUCGAAAAACUACUCACUUCUAAAUCUUUUGUAGUCAUUUUUGUAUUACUUUAGUAUAAAUACAUGUUAAUUUGGAUUCAUAUGUUGUUUUUUUUUCUGACUUUAUGUGAACGAAAAGACACAAAUUCGCCCGUUUUCUCACUGGAAAUAGGUAAAUUUCAAAAUAUCACUGUCCUGGUCACAAAAGCAAAGUUUGUGGGGAAUAAUAGCCAUUUUCCAUACUUUUGAGGCAUAAGCAAUUAGGAAAUAACACUUACUACCCAGGAACAAAAAUUGUGUUACAUAGUGUAAUCAAAAGCAAU